GAGCAGGCAAAUGCUCUAAACUCAUAUAGUGCCUUCAAGAAGCCCACUCCCAAUUCAUUCAGCCCAGUCUACCACCCUGAUAAUAGGUUCCACCCAAAUUUCUCAUACAAGCAAAAUGAACCUAUUCAACAUCAAGGUGGUCCACCAGGUUUUCAGAAGAAUUUUCCCAGGAUAGGUCCAUCACAAAUAAACCAAUCAUUGGCUCCACCUAUUCCUACUUAUAGUGCCCCUAUCCCUCAGCAAACUACAUCAUUGGAAGCCAUGAUGGCUAACAUGAUGAAGCAGCAACAAGACUUCAUCCAACAACAACAACAGACCAACAUGGCUCAAACCCAGACUAACCAAUUCCAUGCG
rnacentral:lncRNA from 1 species